rnacentral:tRNA from 1 species
GCGCCGGUGGUGUAAGGCGAACAUCGCUGCCCGGAAAGCAGAAGAUGCGGGUUCGAGUCCCGCCUGGGGCA